AUUAAGUUGAGUUUGAUGAUGGCUCUGAAUGAACGCUAUUCAAAUGCCUGACACAUGCUAAUCGUACGUAUGUAGUAAACAUUUGUUAACUACAAAAGUGGUGUACAGGUGAGUAAAUGAUGAAUUGGUUACCUUAAAGUGAGGGAUAAAAUACCUCAUAAUAAAAGGAGAAAUCUGCUUUAAGAUACUAGUUGCAUCUCGGGUAGGUAGUAGUAGAGGUAAUUGCUCAACUAGCUUAACAUCCCGUAGUCGAGGCUGAAAGGUCGAUCGAUCACAUUGGAUAUGAAUAAAAUUCAAUGCAUGAUAGUACAGCAGUGGGGGAUAUUGGUCAAUAGCCGAAAGGCUGAACCAGCAAUUUGAAAGAAUGGCCUCUCCUAGUUUAAACUAGUCAAUAUCUGAGAGGCAAGGAUAGAGUUAUGUAAAGUAAUUUAUGUAAUUGGGUCCAAGCCUUAGGUCAAAAGCCUAGGAUUAAAGUUCUGAAUAGAAUAAUGAUAAUGACAAUUUUCUAAUUCAAGUGUCUUGACAAACACAUGUGCCAGCAGUCGCGGUAAGACAUGAUAGACUAGUGUUAUUCAUCUUUAAUGGGUUUAAAGGGUACCUAGACGGAAGUUCAAGCCUGCGAGGGGACGGAAUUUCUAGAGUUUUAUGUGAGAAGGGGAGUACUACUGGUGGAGAGAUGAAAUUUGAUGAUACCUUUAGGACUGGUAAAGGCGAAGGCAACCUUUUAAGUAAAAACUGACGUUGAGGGACGAAGGCUUAGGUAACGAACAGGAUUAGAUACCCUAGUAGUCUUUGCAGAAAACGCUGAAUGCCAUAGGUUAGAAAUAUAUUUUGGCCUAUAAAUGAAAGUGUAAGCAUUCCACCUCAAGAGUAAUUCGGCAACGUAGAAACUGAAAUCAUUAGACCGUUUUUUGAAACCAGUAGUGAAGUAUGUUCUUUAAUUCGAUGACCCACGAAAAAUCUUACCAUAACUUGCAUAGCUAGCAAAAUAUAAAAAAUAUAAUUAUUUUAUAAACGAGUUAUUAAAUCUGUCCUUAAAUUAAGGAUUACAGGAUAAUAAAUAACAGAUAAAUUUUAUCAUAUGGAUUUAUUUCAAUAAAUAAGUCAUAUAUGCUAGCUACAGGUGUUGCACGGCUGUCUUAAGUUAAUGUCGUGAGAUCAUGGUUAGAUCCAACAAUUAGCGUAAGCCCUUAAUUUAUUUAAAAAAUAUAAAUUAUUAAUAUAUUUAUAAAAAUAUUUAUUAUAAAAAUAUAUUAAGCAAAUAUUUUAAUAUUAAAUGUUAUUUAGCAAUAAAUUUUAUAUAAAAAUAUAAAUUAUUAAGAUAAAACAUUUUUAUAGUGUAGGGAAAGAUAUUUAUAUUAAAUAUUAUAAAAAUAAUAAUUUUAAUGUUUAAAAAUAUUAAAUAUUUGUAUUUAUAAAUAAAUAGAUUAGUUCACUAAGAUAAUGGCAAGUGAUAACCGGGAGUAAGACAAGUCAUCAUGGCCCUUCUAUUGUAAAAAAGUUAAUGUUAUGGGCUACUGACGUGCCACAUAUGCCUUUACAAAGGGAUGCAAAAAUGUGAAUUUUAGCUAAUCCCCAAAAAAAGGAAAUAAAAAAUAAUGGAUUGUAGUCUGAAAUUCGACUACAUGAAAAAGAAAUUACUAGUAAUCGUGUAUCACAACGGCACGGUGAAUUUUAUCUCAGAUUGGUACUAACCACUCGUCAGGCGCUGAAAAUUGUGCGUGCAAUAAGUUUGGGGGAUUCAAAUAAAAAGUAUAAGCAACUGGGCUUAUGGCAUUUGAGAAUCUUUCUUCGUAUGCGCGGCUUUGAUUGGUGUUAAGUUAUUUAGGAAGUGAGGUUUCCUAUUAU
rfam:Dactylellina haptotyla CBS 200.50 unplaced genomic scaffold scaffold00324, whole genome shotgun sequence.